GUGAGGAAUAUUGGACAAUGGGCGCAAGCCUGAUCCAGCCAUGCCGCGUGCAGGAAGACGCAUCUAUGGUGUGUAAACUGCUUUUGUACGGGAAGAAACACUCCCUCGUGAGGGAGCUUGACGGUACCGUAAGAAUAAGGAUCGGCUAACUCCGUGCCAGCAGCCGCGGUAAUACGGAGGAUCCAAGCGUUAUCCGGAAGCAUUGGGUUUAAAGGGUCCGUAGGCGGUUUAAUAAGUAAGUGUUGAAAGCCCAUCGCUCAACGAUGGAACGGCAAUUGAUACUGUUAGACUUGAAUUACAAGGAAGUAACUAGAAUAUGUAGUGUAGCGGUGAAAUGCUUAGAUAUUACAUGGAAUACCAAUUGCGAAGGCAGGUUACUACUUGUGGAUUGACGCUGAUGGACGAAAGCGUGGGGAGCGAACAGGAUUAGAUACCCGUGUAGUCC
rnacentral:rRNA from 1 species